CCCCUAGAUGUUCUGGGCCGCACGCGCGCUACACUGAACAGUUCAACAAGUCUUAACCUUGGCCGAUAGGUCUGGGUAAUCUUUGAACGCUGUUCGUGAUUGGGAUAGACCUUUGCAAUUAUGGGUCUUCAACGAGGAAUUCCUAGUAAACGCAAGUCAUCAGCUUGCAUUGAUUACGUCCCUGCCCUUUGUACACACCGCCGGUCGCACCUACCGAUUGAAUGGUCCGGUGAAAUCUCGGGACGGCGGCUUGGUCGCUUGCGUCCGACUGCUGAAACUUGAUUAAACCAUAUCAUUUAGAGGAAGGUGAAGUCGUAACA
rnacentral:rRNA from 1 species